GACGAACGCUGACGGCGUGCUUAACACAUGCAAGUCGAACGGAAAGGCCCUGCUUGCAGGGUACUCGAGUGGCGAACGGGUGAGUAACACGUGGGUGAUCUGCCCUGCACUUCGGGAUAAGCCUGGGAAACUGGGUCUAAUACCGGAUAGGAGCCAUUUUUAGUGUGAUGGUUGGAAAGUUUUUUCGGUGUAGGAUGAGCUCGCGGCCUAUCAGCUUGUUGGUGGGGUAAUGGCCUACCAAGGCGGCGACGGGUAGCCGGCCUGAGAGGGUGGACGGCCACAUUGGGACUGAGAUACGGCCCAGACUCCUACGGGAGGCAGCAGUGGGGAAUAUUGCACAAUGGGCGCAAGCCUGAUGCAGCGACGCCGCGUGGGGGAUGACGGCCUUCGGGUUGUAAACUCCUUUCGCUAGGGACGAAGCUUUUUGUGACGGUACCUAGAUAAGAAGCACCGGCUAACUACGUG
rnacentral:rRNA from 1 species